ensembl:lncRNA
CCUGAGAGCAACAUAAAUGAGGACCCUGGCCUCGAAGUAAGCUAGGUAUUUCUGGAAACCACAUAAGUCCUUUAAUUUAGUGAAAUGUAUUUGCAUUAUGAGUAUAACACUACUGUCUUCCCAACACACUCUUGCCAAGGUUCUUGUGGCACAUUGCUAGAAGAUAUCACAAUCCUUUUCUGAGAGUUUCAGUGACCUGUGGGGGACACAAACAGACUGAAAGAAAAAUUGGUAAUUAUCUAAUUCGUGUGCUUUUAGUGAUAAAAGCGAGGAUUUAAAAAAAUUACAUGGAGAAUGAGCCUCAGAACAAAAGGCAUGGCUUGACAAGCAGCGGCAUGUCCACACCCGGGAUCUGAACCGGCGAACCCAGGCUGCCAAGAAGUGGAACGUGUGCACUUAACUGCUGUGACACCAGGCCGGCCCCUAAAGACCAAAUUCUUAUCCAUGAUACUGAAUUCUUAUGCAAGUUUUCUGAAGAGAAAAAUCAUCAAAAAGCGUGGAAGGACACCGUGACUCGUUUUCCUCAGUUACUCACGCCAAGCAGGGACCCUCUUGGUCUGGCUGCCACACCCGCAGUAGAUGUAAGCCUUGAAGGGAGGGGGCAGGCUGUGUAGGGCAGACCUUUUAAUUUUGAAGCUAUUAAGUACCUGCAAAUGUCUUUCACACGGAAAGAAAAACUCUAACGAAUGACUUGCUUAAUUUAUUGGUAUCACUCACCCCACAGGUAUUCACGUGGCGUUAGAAGGCUGUUCUUGGCUGUUACACACACUGCCUGGGGCUUUAGAUGAGAAGCUUGACUUUGGAAAUUCAGUCGCACAAUAGGAUACAUGGAAAGCGUGCCUCUCCUGUAUCUACUAUAAUUCUCUGCUUAUUGCUCCUGGAGAGACACACAGGUUGCACUGUUCCUGUCACAUCUGUCUUAAAAGAAUGGUUGGCAGACGUAAGUGGUAAAAUAGUCAAGAUGGAUUCGGAUGAAGCAAACUGCAGAGCCAUAUUUUGUUUGAUGGAAACAGAAGGAAGUUGGUUCCCUUCUCCUUACAUUGAGGCUUCAUCUAAGUGCUCUAACAUCCUUGUUUUCACCUUCUUUCCCCAGCUGCUGUGAGGGUUGGGUUCCUACCGAGAGGAGCAUAACAAAAGGAGAAGGAGUCUUGUUUUUCCAGGAGAACGAGGAAAGGGAAAUAAGACGGUGAGUCAGCGGGCCAGCAGGCGUCCGCUGCACGUGGAACACAGCACUGCUCACUUCCCCCUCCACCUGGUGUUCUGGCUGCCCCUGGAUUAGCUCCUAUUGCUGCUUACACGGCAACAGGCUCGAGAGAGAGCUUCCAGGUUCACCACCCUCACCCCCAACCUCCUGAGAAAUGUCAGAAACUGCAUGAGGGACAUAGGGACCAGAAGCAUGGAGCUCCCCCUGCCUAGGGCCCCAUAAUGAUGCAGCAGAAAAGAGGAUAGGGGCCUUUGAGUUAGGGAGGGAAGAAGCGUUACCUAAUAGUGAUGCAUUAAAAUAACAGAGUUAAGGGUAGAUUCCUGCUGCCAAUACAGAAUUAAACUGGUCGGGGUUAAACAGGAUAGAGGGAAAUGGAGGAAACUAGCCAAGAGACAAGAGGAAUUAUCCAUAGUUACUCAGUGUAAUUGCAUUUAUACAGUUGGGGGGCCUGCCACUGAGCCAUGGGGGAUACCUCCACUCAGCCUUUCUCAGCUGAACACAGAAAAUGAUUUGGGUGACUAUUUUCUCAGUUUUCUUAAGGAUGAUACAGAACAUUCUAGAUGCAUAAGAGAGAAGUUAAUUUCUGACGUACUAUAGAUGGCUUAGGGCGUUAGAACUCAAUUCCCUCUGGUUAAGAGAGUCCCCAUUGUUCUUGGCACCACAUAUGUCAAAGAUGGGGAUAGUACUAUGGACAGCCCACCCUGGGGAAUGCCUGUUUGGUCAAGGAGUAGGGUAUGUUUUCCUUAUUCCCUUGACCCAGGGCAGGUUUUGGAGUUCAUAUAACUGAGAAUUGCCUUUCAUUCAUUCACUCAACAAAUAACUAUUAGUCUCUUGCUCUUUUCUAGUUACUAUGGCAAGAACAAAGAAUAUAAUGGUGAACAAGAAACAGAUAAAAACAAAUAAGUGAUGACCCAUGCUAUGUUGGAGAAAACCUCCAAGGGGCCAGGACAGAAAGAAAGAUGAGGGAUUUGGGAGCAUGGAUGGUGGGUGUGUUCGGGGGUAGGCAUACCUUGAAGAAGGAGGUUACUAAGCACGCACAAAUUGAUGCUGGCCCUCAUAUCAGUUCCCCUACAUUAAACCCAGCAUACAUGGGGUGAAAACCAAAGCAUUCAUUCCCUGCUUACUCCUUGGCUUCCUGGCUCCAGAAUGCACUAUCCGCCACGGAGGCAAACAGCCAAGGUGACCCACCUGCAAAUUCUCUUAUCAUCCUCCUCUCUAUAAACAACCUCCCAAGGCUGAAUGCAGGCUGGUGGGAAAGUUCCGACCAGCAAGGCCCCUGAUUCUCCCCGACUCCUCUACAAGCAGCCACAUUCCUCAGAAACCUUUAAAACCCCUGGCCUCCCAUCUUUUGGGGAGCCAGACGAAACAAAACUAAUUUGAGGGCUCACUCUCAUCUCUCAGCUGAUAACAUCCUAAAUAAAAACCCUUUCUUUGC